CAAUAGCGUAUAUUAAAGUUGUUGCGGUUAAAAAGCUCGUAGUUGGAGUUCUGCCAGGUGCCGCCUGUCCGCCCCAGUGGUGAGUACGUGGCGCGCAUUUGGCCCUUUCAAGGGGAGCGUAUCUGCACUUUAUUGUGUGGUGCGGGAUCCUUGACUUUUACUUUGAGGAAAUAGGAGUGUUCCAAGCAGGCUCUCGUCGUGCACAGCUCAGCAUGGAAUAAUAGCAUUGGACCUCGAUUCUAUGCUGUUGGUUGCCAGAAGCGAGGUAAUGAUGAAGAGGGAUAGUUGGGGGCAUUCGUAUUUAACUGUCAGAGGUGAAAUUCUUGGAUUUGUUAAAGACGGACUACUGCGAAAACAUCUGCCAUGGAUGUUUUCAUUGA
rnacentral:rRNA from 1 species